GACGAACGCUGGCGGCGUGCCUAAUACAUGCAAGUUGAGCGAUGAAGAUUGGUGCUUGCACCAAUUUGAAGAGCAGCGAACGGGUGAGUAACGCGUGGGGAAUCUGCCUUUGAGCGGGGGACAACAUUUGGAAACGAAUGCUAAUACCGCAUAACAACUUUAAACAUAAGUUUUAAGUUUGAAAGAUGCAAUUGCAUCACUCAAAGAUGAUCCCGCGUUGUAUUAGCUAGUUGGUGAUGUAAAGGCUCACCAAGGCGAUGAUACAUAGCCGACCUGAGAGGGUGAUCGGCCACAUUGGGACUGAGACACGGCCCAAACUCCUACGGGAGGCAGCAGUAGGGAAUCUUCGGCAAUGGACGAAAGUCUGGCCGAGCAACGCCGCGUGAGUGAAGAAGGUUUUCGGAUCGUAAAACUCUGUUGGUAGAGAAGAACGUUGGUGAGAGUGGAAAGCUCAUCAAGUGACGGUAACUACCCAGAAAGGGACGGCUAACUACGUG
rnacentral:rRNA from 1 species